rfam:Schistosoma curassoni strain Dakar, Senegal genome assembly, scaffold: SCTD_scaffold0002483
GCGCUGCUGAGGAGUCCCACAAUAGGACGAAACGGCCGUCUAGCGC